rnacentral:sRNA from 12 species
AUUGGAUGAGCAACAGUAAAAUACUGUUUCGGGAUGGCUCGUCAAAACUCAUCAGCGGUUUUCUUUCCCUUAUCCGUAUGAGUGAU